UUUUAAAAAAAAAAGGAAAAAGAGAAAAACAGCUGCCGCUUCUUCUGCUCUCUUUCUACUUUCUUGUGCUUUGCCUCUCUCCUUUCCUAGGUGAUUGGGUUUGGGUGCUGGGUGGGGCCAAAUGGUAUAUGAGCCCCAG